CCGUGACACUGAAUGAAAGUCAAAAUUCAUAAGUACAGUGAGCACUGAUUCCUGACACUGAAGUUCAGUGGAGAUAUUUCAGAGGAGGAGAACCUGACUGUUACCUGUGACAUUUAUUUUACUCCGGGGGGAUGAGAUGAAUUUCAGCAUGAGAACAGCAAUUCGACAGUGCUUCUGUGCAUCCCAGCAACUGUAAAACUAGAUGAAGUAUUGCUUGAAAUUCUUCUAAAGUAUAUGAGGAUCCAGCUAAUGUCAAAAGCUGGUAUCUAUUAAAUGCUGUUGCAUAAGUCAGAGUGUCUGUGCAAAAUAGCUGUAUGAUCCUGUAUAGGAACUGCUGAAUCACAGCCUGAACCUCUGAUUAAUCACCUGAGAUAAGCAAUGAGUCACCCGUGGAAGCACAGGUGAAGGCAAUUCACCUGUGUUAUCGGAAAGGGUGGAGCCUGGCUCCACCUCUCCUAGACCCAUUUAAGAGCUGACUACCAGGGGGAAGGAUCUCUUUCUGGAGAUCCCUCCUUUGGAGUUUUACAGUGAGUCUAGGUCAUAGGUAAGCAUUUUAUCUAUCUCUCUUUUGUAUAAUAAUCUGCCUAGCCAAACUCUCUGGUAUACUUCAUAAUUAUAACAUUUUACAUUCAUUGAUUAUACAGAUACGAAGGUAUAAGUACAGAUUAUGUAUGCAUUCUCUUAAAAUUAUAUAUAUAUUUUUUAUCUUGAAAUAAUUCAAAAUUAGUGGUAAGGCUGGGUUCAUACAUGGAAUCCACAAUAACUGAACCUUAUACUGUUUUCUUUUUAAUAUUAAGGGUGUUCAUCUUUCAUGUAAGUGUGUGAUAAUUUGGAGCUUUCUUUUCAUAUACUAACAUAUGAAUUAUUCACCAUUUUAAAGCAGCUUGUACUUCAUCACCAUUCAUGUAAUCCUUAACAAUGUUUCUGCAGAGCACCAUAGGAAAGCAAAGAGGAUUUUCAGAGGAUCCCUGAAACAAAACAAACUCAGCUCUACCUGCUAUUCCCCGCAGACAUUGCCUUUGAGAGGGGAAGGAUGUUCAUUUGUCACCAGGUACUGCAAGUCACCACAAUUUGGAAUGCUGACAGAGUUGGGUGGAUAUGCUAGAAAUGUGAGCCUUUUGCAAAUUACAUCAAUGUGCAUAAUAGUUGUGGACAGCUGCAGAGCUUGGAUCUGUUCCCCAGCUAGAUGAAGUGGCAUGGUCUCUAUUAUUUUUUAUGUUCUGCUGCAGGUAUCUGAGGGGAACCGAAGGACCUGAGCCCUAGCAACAAACAAAUAAAUAAAUGGGAUGCAUAGUCUGUAAGCUUCA
rnacentral:lncRNA from 1 species